rnacentral:misc_RNA from 1 species
CGCCUGACGAACCGUACACGGCGCCAAAGCGCCGGUCACCACGCCGCUUUCUCGGUCGGAUCGGGCUCAGUUCGUCUGCCGCCGGGCGCCUCACCGUCGGCGAGCACCGACAGGAUCCNNNNAAUGUGCUGGCGCGGCGGAGCAGGCGGACGGCGGCGGCACAGUCGCCAGUGGCGAGGCUUUGAAGGCCGGCCCCCAGCAGCGUCGCGCUUUGCUGCGCGAUGCGAUGGACAGUUUCAAGCUCCGCCCGGCAACG